ACGAGUGAUGACCGCUAUUAUUGGGCCUAAAGCGUCCGUAGCUGGCCACGCAAGUCCAUCGGGAAAUCUCUCCGCUUAACGGAGAGGCGUCCGGUGGAACCUGCCUGGCUUGGGACCGGAAGAUCCAGAGGGUACGUCCGGGGUAGGAGUGAAAUCCUGUAAUCCUGGACGGACCACCGGUGGCGAAAGCGCUCUGGAAAGACGGAUCCGACGGUGAGGGACGAAAGCUCGGGUCACGAACCGGAUUAGAUACCCGGGUAGUCCGAGCUGUAAACGAUGUCUGCUAGGUGUGGCACAGGCUACGAGCCUGUGCUGUGCCGUAGGGAAGCCGUGAAGCAGACCGCCUGGGAAGUACGUCUGCAAGGAUGAAACUUAAAGGAAUUGGCGGGGGAGCACUACGACCGGAGGAGCCUGCGGUUUAAUUGGACUCAACGCCGGACAUCUCACCAGCAUCGACAAUGUGCAG
rnacentral:rRNA from 1 species